GAAAAUAUAACAAUUGGGAUCACAAUCCACUUUAGUCCUGGCACAGCGAGGGCACAUACCUGAUUGAAGGUGGAUAAAAACAGGGGUAAUAAAUCAAAGUGUUGUGAUCUGAAAAGUUUGGCAAUCACUGUAGAACCAGCAAACAAGCACCCUGUUUCAGAACAUAAUACUUUUUGAUUUAUCUCCAAAACUACCCUCCUUCACGUCCUGUGUUCAAUAAGACAAAAGGGGUCGAGCCUGUAACAGGGAGUCAAGAUGUCUAGAAUAGUCUAGAAUAGAGGUAAAUAGGCAGUGUUGAUUUUUACAUUUUAUUUUUCAUACUUCACAAAUGCAUGUUUGUUAAAUAUUGAGGAUAAGUAAAUAAAGCAUUAGAAAUCUUGGAAGUGAUAGUUACCCUUUACAGAGACACUGUAGGCACUAUAACGGCCUCAUCUCAUUGAAAUGGUCUGCAUCACUGGCCUUCCACUUGGCAUUAAAGCAUUUUUAUUUUUUUUUAAUGCUAAAUUUGAGUCCCCAGCACCGUAACCCUCUGUGUUUGGACUAAUUAGGAAGCAAAGUAACCAGCUGUCCCAUAUCAGAUGAUUGUUCCCUUUUUGAGGCCUUUGGACCUUUGGAGACUAUGUGUUCUUAUGAAUGUUUUCCUAAUGCUUACUCCUUGUUUAUAUUGAAUUGUUACAUAGAUUUAAAUACAACACAAAUCAUAGGAAUUGUUAACUGAAAUAAUACCAACGUAACUUGCCACGUUGCAGCCUGUCAAGUAACCAUACUUUUGAAAAUUAAAAAUAUUUGAAAAACUGAAUAAAAACUUUUUCAAAUGAGAAAAAAAAAAUUAGAUUGUGA